UGCCCUGUUUUUCUUUUCGGAUCGCCAAAUUCUUUCGCCUUUUACUAAAGUUUUCCGUGGAGCCGGAACAAUAUAAGAAUCAGAAAGUUUUUUGACUCCUUGGUUUACCACGGG